AGGAUGAACGCUGGCGGCGUGCUUAACACAUGCAAGUCGAACGGUGAAGUGGGAGCUUGCUCCCGCGGAUCAGUGGCGAACGGGUGAGUAACACGUGAGUAACCUGCCCUUGACUCUGGGAUAAGCGUUGGAAACGACGUCUAAUACCGGAUACGAGCUUCGGAGGCAUCUCCAGGAGCUGGAAAGAACUUCGGUCAAGGAUGGACUCGCGGCCUAUCAGCUAGUUGGUGAGGUAAUGGCUCACCAAGGCGACGACGGGUAGCCGGCCUGAGAGGGUGACCGGCCACACUGGGACUGAGACACGGCCCAGACUCCUACGGGAGGCAGCAGUGGGGAAUAUUGCACAAUGGGCGCAAGCCUGAUGCAGCAACGCCGCGUGAGGGACGACGGCCUUCGGGUUGUAAACCUCUUUCAGCACAGACGAAGCGCAAGUGACGGUAUGUGCAGAGAGGACGCACUACGUGCCAGCAGCCG
rnacentral:rRNA from 1 species